UGAACGCUGGCGGCGUGCCUAAUACAUGCAAGUCGAGCGAACAGAUGAGGAGCUUGCUCCUCUGACGUUAGCGGCGGACGGGUGAGUAACACGUGGAUACCUACCUAUAAGACUGGGAUAACUUCGGGAAACCGGAGCUAAUACCGGAAAAUAUAUUGAACCGCAUGGUUCAAUAGUGAAAGACGGGUUUGCUGGCACUUAUAGAUGGAUCCGCGCCGCAUUAGCUAGUUGGUAAGGUAACGGCUUACCAAGGCAACGAUGCGUAGCCGACCUGAGAGGGUGAUCGGCCACACUGGAACUGAGACACGGUCCAGACUCCUACGGGAGGCAGCAGUAGGGAAUCUUCCGCAAUGGGCGAAAGCCUGACGGAGCAACGCCGCGUGAGUGAUGAAGGUCUUCGGAUCGUAAAACUCUGUUAUUAGGGAAGAACAAAUGUGUAAGUAACUAUGCACGUCUUGACGGUACCUAAUCAGAAAGCCACGGCUAACUACGUG
rnacentral:rRNA from 1 species